rnacentral:rRNA from 1 species
AAAUGAAUUGACGGGAGCCCGCACAAGCAGUGGAGUAUGUGGUUUAAUUCGACGCAACGCGAAGAACCUUACCAGGUCUUGACAUCCAAGGAAUCCGGCGUAAUGGCUGGAGUGCCCUUCGGGGAACCUUGAGACAGGUGGUGCAUGGUUGUCGUCAGCUCGUGUCGUGAGAUGUUGGGUUAAGUCCCGCAACGAGCGCAACCCUUACGGUUAGUUGCUACGAAAGAGCACUCUAGCCGGACUGCCGUUGACAAAACGGAGGAAGGUGGGGAUGACGUCAAAUCAUCAUGCCCCUUACGACCUGGGCUACACACGUACUACAAUGGCGCAAACAAAGGGGAGCGAAGCCGCGAGGUGGAGCAAAUCUCAAAAAAGGCGCCCCAGUUCGGAUUGCAGGCUGCAACUCGCCUGCAUGAAGUCGGAAUUGCUAGUAAUCGCGGAUCAGCAUGCCGCGGUGAAUACGUUCCCGGGCUUUGUACACACCGCCCGU